UACGGAGGGGGCUAGCGUUGUUCGGAAUUACUGGGCGUAAAGGGCGCGUAGGCGGCGCGGUAAGUCACUUGUGAAAUCUCUGAGCUUAACUCAGAACGGCCAAGUGAUACUGCAGUGCUAGAGUGUGGAAGGGGCAAUCGGAAUUCUUGGUGUAGCGGUGAAAUGCGUAGAUAUCAAGAGGAACACCUGAGGUGAAGACGGGUUGCUGGGCCAACACUGACGCUGAGGCGCGAAAGCCAGGGGAGCAAACGGG
rnacentral:rRNA from 1 species